CUAUAUAAUGCUACCCUUGUCUUUGAAAUGGCAGGACCUUCAGCUUCCUGGAGGGAAACCAUUCUGCUCGAAGGGCAGGAGCGGCACCCCAGAGACAGCAGAUACAGACGGAGCAGGACUCUGUAGCACCUGGUUAUUGGCAUGGACAGAAGGAAUCAGGAGCAGUGAUGGUGUCCCUUGACCCCGGCUUCUGGAGUCAAGAGGAUCUGUGUUGAGUUCAGCCUUCAUUCUUAAAGAAAAAAUAAGUUUCUGGCCCUCAUGUGACCCCAGUGCACCCUAAAGACUCAAAAAGCAGAAGGCAAAUAAAAACAACACAAAAUGUACUAACUUUUACAUAAUCUCAUCGUUUUUAAGCCCAUCUCAUGAGUUUUGGUGAGCAGGACUCAUGAUUGUUGAAUAUUUGGGGUUGGCAAUACUGUAUCUUACUGCAAAUGCUUUUCUGUC